rnacentral:rRNA from 1 species
UACGGGGGGGGCAAGCGUUGUUCGGAAUUACUGGGCGUAAAGGGCUCGUAGGUGGCCAACUAAGUCAGACGUGAAAUCCCUCAGCUUAACUGGGGAACUGCGUCUGAUACUGGAUGGCUUGAGAUUGGGGAGAGGGAUGCAGAAUUCCAGGUGUAGCGGUGAAAUGCGUAGAUAUCUGGAGGAAUACCGGUGGCGAAGGCGGCAUCCUGGACCGACAUUGACGCUGAGGAGCGAAAGCCAGGGGGAGCAAACGGG